GCGCUAGUGGUCUAACGGCUAGGAUUCAACCCUUCCACUCUCAUUCAUAUGUGUGUGUGUGCGUGCGUGCGAGGUUGAGGUAGGGGUUCGAUUCCCUUCUGGCGCA